rnacentral:rRNA from 1 species
AUACGUAGGGUGCUAGCGUUGUUCGGAAUUACUGGGCGUAAAGUGCACGUAGGCGGCUUUGUAAGUCAGAGGUUAAAGCCUGGAGCUCAACUCCAGAACUGCCUUUGAGACUGCAUCGCUUGAAUCCAGGAGAGGUCAGUGGAAUUCCGAGUGUAGAGGUGAAAUUCGUAGAUAUUCGGAAGAACACCAGUGGCGAAGGCGGCUGGCUGGACUGGUAUUGACGCUGAGGUGCGAAAGCGUGGGGCGCAAACAGGAUUAGAAACCCCAGUAGUCC